GACGAACGCUGGCGGCGUGCCUAAUACAUGCAAGUCGAGCGAAGCGGCGGAUGGGUGAGUAACGCGUGGGCAACCCGUCCUUAAGUCAGGGAAAUCAGUUGGAAACAGAUGCUAAUAACGGAUAUGAAAGGAUGGACGUGCGAUGCAUUAGCUAGUUGGUAAGGUAACGGCUUACCAAGGCGAGGAUGCAUAGCCGACUUGAGAGAGUGAUCGGCCACAUUGGGACUGAGACACGGCCCAGACUCCUACGGGAGGCAGCAGUAGGGAAUCUUCCGUAAUGGACGAAAGUCUGACGGAGCAACGCCGCGUGAGUGAAGAAGGUUUUCGGAUCGUAAAGCUCUGUUGUUAGUGAAGCGGUAAUCAACCAGAAAGUCACGGCUAACUACGUGCCAGCAGCCGCGGUAAUAC
rnacentral:rRNA from 1 species